rnacentral:rRNA from 1 species
GACACGGUCCAGACUCCUACGGGAGGCAGCAGUGGGGAAUAUUGCACAAUGGAGGGAACUCUGAUGCAGCGACGCCGCGUGAGCGAUGAAGGCUUUCGGGUCGUAAAGCUCUGUCCUAGGGGACGAUAAUGACGGUACCCUAGGAGGAAGCCCCGGCUAACUACGUGCCAGCAGCCGCGGUAAUACGUAGGGGGCGAGCGUUGUCCGGAAUUAUUGGGCGUAAAGGGUACGCAGGCGGCCAUGUAAGUCAGAUGUGAAAGACAUAGGCUUAACUUAUGUAAGCAUUUGAAACUGCGUGGCUUGAGUUAAGGAGAGGAAAGUGGAAUUCCUAGUGUAGCGGUGAAAUGCGUAGAUAUUAGGAAGAAUAUCAGUGGCGAAGGCGACUUUCUGGACUUAUACUGACGCUGAGGUACGAAAGCGUGGGGAGCAAACAGGAUUAGAUACCCUGGUAGUCCACGCCGUAAACGAUGAGUGCUAGGUGUCGGGGGUCAAACC